GUCCUUACCCUCUUCCUGUAGGUCCAUGUCCUUACCCUCUUCCUGUAGGUCCUUACCCUCUUCCUGUAGGUCCUAACCCUCUCCCUGUAGGUCCUUACCCUCUUCCUGUAGGUCCUUACCCUCUUCCUGUAGGUCCUAACCCUCUUCCUGUAGGUCCUUACCCUCUCCCUGUAGGUCCUAACCCUCUUCCUGUAGGUCCUUACCCUCUUCCUGUAGGUCCUUACCCUCUUCCUGUAGGUCCUUACCCUCUUCCUGUAGGUCCUUACCCUCUUCCUGUAGGUCCUUACCCUCUCCCUGUAGGUCCAUGUCCUUACCCUCUUCCUGUAGGUCCUUACCCUCUCCCUGUAGGUCCUUACCCUCUCCCUGUAGGUCCUUACCCUCUUCCUGUAGGUCCUUACCCUCUUCCUGUAGGUCCUUACCCUCUUCCUGUAGGUCCUAACCCCUCUUCCUGUAGGUCCUUACCCUCUUCCUGUAGGUCCUUACCCUCUUCCUGUAGGUCCUUACCCUCUUCCUGUAGGUCCUUACCCUCUUCCUGUAGGUCCAGGUCCUUACCCUCCCCUGUAGGUCCUUACCCUCUCCCUGUAGGUCCUUACCCUCUUCCUGUAGGUCCUUACCCUCUCCCUGUAGGUCCUAACCCUCUUCCUGUAGGUCCUUACCCUCUUCCUGUAGGUCCUUACCCUCUUCCUGUAGGUCCUUACCCUCUUCCUGUAGGUCCUUACCCUCUUCCUGUAGGUCCUUACCCUCUUCCUGUAGGUCCUUACCCUCUUCCUGUAGGUCCAUGUCCUUACCCCUCUUCCUGUAGGUCCAUGUCCUUACCCUCUUCCUGUAGGUCCUUACCCUCUCCCUGUAGGUCCUUACCCUCUUCCUGUAGGUCCUAACCCUCUUCCUGUAGGUCCUUACCCUCUUCCUGUAGGUCCUUACCCUCUUCCUGUAGGUCCUUACCCUCUUCCUGUAGGUCCUUACCCUCUCCCUGUAGGUCCUUACCCUCUUCCUGUAGGUCAUUACCCUCUUCCUGUAGGUCCUUACCCUCUCCCUGUAGGUCCUUACCCUCUUCCUGUAGGUCCUUACCCUCUUCCUGUAGGUCCUUACCCUCUCCUUGUAGGUCCUUACCCUCUCCUGUAGGUCCUUACCCUCUUCCUGUAGGUCCUUACCCUCUUCCUGUAGGUCCAUGUCCUUACCCUCUCCCUGUAGGUCCUUACCCUCUUCCUGUAGGUCCUUACCCUCUUCCUGUAGGUCCUUACCCUCUUCCUGUAGGUCCUUACCCUCUUCCUGUAGGUCCUAACCCUCUUCCUGUAGGUCCUUACCCUCUUCCUGUAGGUCCUUACCCUCUUCCUGUAGGUCCUUACCCUCUUCCUGUAGGUCCUUACCCUCUUCCUGUAGGUCCUUACCCUCUUCCUGUAGGUCCUUACCCUCUUCCUGUAGGUCCUAACCCUCUUCCUGUAGGUCCUUACCCUCUUCCUGUAGGUCCUUACCCUCUUCCUGUAGGUCCUUACCCUCUCCCUGUAGGUCCUUACCCUCUCCCUGUAGGUCCAUGUCCUUACCCUCUUCCUGUAGGUCCUUACCCUCUCCCUGUAGGUCCUUACCCUCUUCCUGUAGGUCCUAACCCUCUUCCUGUAGGUCCUUACCCUCUUCCUGUAGGUCCUUACCCUCUCCCUGUAGGUCCAUGUCCUUACCCUCUUCCUGUAGGUCCUUACCCUCUCCCUGUAGGUCCUUACCCUCUUCCUGUAGGUCCUUACCCUCUUCCUGUAGGUCCUUACCCUCUCCCUGUAGGUCCUUACCCUCUUCCUGUAGGUCCUUACCCUCUUCCUGUAGGUCCUUACCCUCUCCCUGUAGGUCCUAACCCUCUUCCUGUAGGUCCUAACCCUCUUCCUGUAGGUCCAUGUCCUUACCCUCUUCCUGUAGGUCCUUACCCUCUUCCUGUAGGUCCAUGUCCUUACCCUCUCCCUGUAGGUCCAUACCCUCUCCCUGUAGGUCCUUACCCUCUUCCUGUAGGUCCUUACCCUCUUCCUGUAGGUCCUUACCCUCUUCCUGUAGGUCCUUACCCUCUUCCUGUAGGUCCUUACCCUCUUCCUGUAGGUCCUUACCCUCUUCCUGUAGGUCCUAACCCUCUUCCUGUAGGUCCUUACCCUCUCCCUGUAGGUCCUUACCCUCUUCCUGACUGCCAUUUGUCAUCUUUCUGCAAUGUUGUAGUUCCUGUAUGAAACAGGAAAUGAAGACUUGGUUCAGUUUGAUUGAGCCCAUACAACAUUAUCCAAUAAUAUAUUCUGAUGCUGUAGUCUUGGUAACAGUAUCAUAUAGAAUGUUGGACCACUGUCUUCUUAACCUGAUAAUAUACCACAGUCAGUGUUUAUUGGUCAGAUAAACUUCUGAGAGUGUUUUACCUCAUCUGGACAUUCUGACCACCGUGCUGCAUAGACUACACAUUUUGUCUAUUGACUAGUGAGCUCCAGUAUUGAGUCUUAUUGGCUGAGUCAUUGACUAGUGAGCUCCGGUAUUGAGUCUUAUUGGCUGAGUCAUUGACUAGUGAGCUCCAGUAUUGAGUCUUAUUGGCUGAGUCAUUGACUAGUGAGCUCCAGUAUUGAGUCUUAUUGGCUGAAUCAUUGACUAGUGAGCUCCAGUAUUGAGUCUUAUUGGCUGAGUCAUUGACUAGUGAGCUCCAGCAUUGAGUCUUACUGGCUGAGUCAUUGACUAGUGAGCUCCGGUAUUGAGUCUUAUUGGCUGAGUCAUUGACUAGUGAGCUCCAGUAUUGAGUCUUU
ensembl:lncRNA